UACGGAGGGUGCAAGCAUUAAUCGGAUUUAUUGGGCGUAAAGGGCGCGUAGGCGGCCAUAUAAGUCAGAUGUGAAAUCCCGGGGCUCAACCCCGGAACAGCAUUUGAAACUGUAUGACUAGAGGGUAGGCGGAGAAAACGGAACUCCACAUGUAGCGGUGAAAUGCGUAGAUAUGUGGAAGAACACCCGUGGCGAAGGCGGCUUUCUGGGACGGUACUGACGCUGAGACGCGAAAGCGUGGGGAGCGAACAGG
rnacentral:rRNA from 1 species